rnacentral:rRNA from 1 species
UACGGAGGGUGCAAGCGUUAUCCGGAUUCACUGGGUUUAAAGGGUGCGUAGGCGGGCAGGUAAGUCCGUGGUGAAAUCUCUGAGCUUAACUCAGAAACUGCCAUGGAUACUAUUUGUCUUGAAUAUUGUGGAGGUAAGCGGAAUAUGUCAUGUAGCGGUGAAAUGCUUAGAUAUGACAUAGAACACCAAUUGCGAAGGCAGAUCUCUGGGCCGUAACUGACGCUGAGGAGCGAAAGCAUGGGGAGCGAACAGG